rnacentral:rRNA from 1 species
AUUGAACGCUGGCGGCAGGCCUAACACAUGCAAGUCGAGCGAGCGGCGGACGGGUGAGUAAUGUAUGGGGACUGCCCGAUAGAGGGGGAUAACUACUGGAAACGGUAGCUAAUACCGCAUACUAUCGGAUAACCCAUAGGGGAGUAGCUAGUAGGUGAGGGAAUGGCUCACCUAGGCGACGAUCCCUAGCUGGUCUGAGAGGAGGAUCAGCCACACGGGGACUGAUACACGGCCCAGACUCUUAGGGAGGCAGAAGUGGGGAAUAGUGCACAAUGGGCGCAAGCCUGAUGCAGCCAGGACGCGUGUAUGAAGAAGGCCCUAGGGUUGUAAAGUAAUUUCAGUCGGGAGGCGUUACCGACGGAAGAAGCACCGGCUAACUCCGUGCCAGCAGCCGCGGUAAUAC